ensembl:lncRNA
CCCCCCCCCCUCGCUUAAUCUUCUAUCAAUACGCGUUGUGUGGUUCGUCGUGUUUGCGGGAUGCGGUUAGCUAAACAAAAGCACGAGGCACGAACAGAUAAGCGCCGAUAAGUUCCUCGUGGAACGAGGCGGCGCGCGCGGUCCGUCCUGAUGACGCCACAAAGCACCGGAGACACGCGCGCUCUGCGCCGGCUACUGUCAGUCCGCGUGCCCUCAGAUAGCGUGCGCUGUUUGGGCUUCUUGUUGAACCAAACGGCGUAGCGCCACAGCCGCAACGACACAAAGCACUUUGUCGGUGUGGCGCUACUUUCUCCGGCUAGAGAAACACGCUUUUCUUUUAGGGAAACCCACUGAAGCACAACGCGGCUUUAACACACCUGCGCGGCAGGUAGACAACACAACGUGUGAGCAGACACACUACUGUGUACUACGACACAAACAGCCCCUCGACCGCCACAAGCGCUGCUUUCAACGGACCGUGGGCAUCAGUCGGUGUGUGGCGGAUGGGUCUCCCGUGUGUGUGUAUGUGUGUGUGUGUGUGUGUGAGAUGAUGAAACGCCUUUUCUCCUCUAGGAGCUGCAUUGUUGACAUUGGCUUCCUGACGUCAUGCCGGCCCCCAUUCACAACAACGGCCAAGCCCCCCUCUGCUAUGGAGACGGAGCCCCCCCCGCCUUGGUUUCGCGUACUGAGACUGUACACGUCAUUAAAGUACGGAAGAUUAUUGUUUUUUAUUAAAGCUUUUUUGGUCUGCUCAAUAACAUUUCAGUAAAUAAUUUAAUAAUUUAAUUUACAAUUUCCCGAAACCCAAAUGGAUUCAUAUGUCUUGAAUCGAUGAAGUCCACAAACAUGAGAUAUUCUUACCAAUUAAAAGUAAAAAAAAAAAACAAUGUUUGGAAAUUUUUCUUGAAAACUGAUAUAAACAAUGAAUAAAUCAAAAGUUUCCUGACUACGUACUGACUAAUAAAUUAAUUGAAGCCACGUUUUGCUGGAUUAAAGCAGUUAACUUAAUAUUCA